AUGCCUGCAAUGCUGGGGAAAGCCAAGGCUCAACAGCGACUUGUUGACAACUUACAAGAUGAGUUUGCAAAGGUCCAGAGGGAGUACCACCUUCUGGCGGGCGACUUCCUCGAUGUGGAGCACUUGAAGCAGGUGCUGACUCGGUACAGCAUCGACAAGUUUGAGAAGAUCACGCCCAAGAUGGUGCAGGCCGUGGACGACAUGCUCGCGCACGACAUCCCGGACCUCCUCAAGAACUUCAGCAACCUCUACUAG
rnacentral:rRNA from 1 species